rnacentral:rRNA from 1 species
GACGAACGCUGGCGGCGUGCUUAACACAUGCAAGUCGAGCGGUAAGGCCCUUUCGGGGGUACACGAGCGGCGAACGGGUGAGUAACACGUGGGUGACCUGCCCUCAGCUCUGGGAUAAGCCUGGGAAACUGGGUCUAAUACUGGAUAUGACUCCACGGUGCAUGUCGUGGGGUGGAAAGCCUUGUGCGGCUGAGGAUGGGCCCGCGGCCUAUCAGCUUGUUGGUGGGGNGAUGGCCUACCAAGGCGACGACGGGUAGCCGGCCUGAGAGGGCGACCGGCCACACUGGGACUGAGACACGGCCCAGACUCCUACGGGAGGCAGCAGUGGGGAAUCUUGCGC